UCAGCCCCGGCAAGAUGGCGGCCCCCAUGGAGCUCAGCUGCUGGGGAGGAGACUGGGGGCUCCCUUCGGUCCACAGCGAGUCCCUGGUGGUGCUGGCUUAUGCCAAGUUCUCCGGCGCGCCCUUGAGAGUCAAUGUGAUAGACAAGACCUGGAGAGGGUCGAGAGGUGAUGUACCAAUUUUGACAACUGAAGACAGCAUUAUUUCUAAGCCUGCAAAAAUUAUAAACUUUUUAAGAAAACAGAAAUAUAAUGCUGACUGUGAGCUCACAGCAAAACAAGGGGCAGACACACUGGCUUACAUCGCUCUCCUGGAAGAGAAGCUUCUCCCUGCUGUGCUUCACACCUUCUGGGUUGAGAAUGAGAAUUACUUUACCGUGACAAAGCCAUGGUUUGCCUCUCGUAUCCCUUUCCCUCUGAAUUUAAUCCUGCCGGGAAGGAUGUCUAGAGGAGCCCUGAAUAGGAUUCUCUUGACAAGGGGAGAACCUCCCCUCUACCAUGUCCAAGAAGUGGAAGCACAGAUAUAUAGAGAUGCCAAGGAGUGCCUAAAUCUCCUAUCAAACAGAUUGGGAACAUCUCAGUUUUUCUUUGGUGACACGCCCUCCACCUUGGACGCCUAUGUGUUCGGUUUCCUUGCGCCUCUUUAUAAAGUGAGUUUUCCCAAAGUUCACUUACAGAAGCAUCUGAAACAGCUCUGCAACCUGUGCCGCUUCUCUGAUGACAUCCUGGGCAGCUACUUUAGGCCCGGUCCUGGAGGUUAAACCACACGUGUUGAGUCCCUGCUGAAGAGUAGUGUUUAUCCUCAUUCGAGUGGGCAAUCACUUUAAAUGAUUCUUACCUGCUGCUUCCAGCAUUUUCCUUCAUGAACAGAAAUCAGUAGCAGAGUGACUUUGAUGAGGUACACUCCCAUGAUUCUACUACUUGAAAACUGAUUGCACCAAACUGGAGAUAUAGCGUCUCCCCAGCUGGACAAGAAAUGGUAGAUGCUAACCUGCAGAAGCUCACGCAGCUUGUAAAUAAGGAGUCCAACUUAAUUGAGAAGAUGGAUGGCAACCUCCGCCAAAGCCCUCAGCUUCUUCCUCGGAAGCUGCCGACCCUCAAACUGACUCCAGCAGAAGAGGAGAGUAAUUCCUUGCAGCUGCUGUCACCCUGACAGUCACAGCUGGUUGCAGUCUGUCUUAUGAUUGUUGCAGUCAUUGCUGAUGCCAAGUGUACGGAGACCCAAAGAAUGCUGUAAUAGGUUUAAGACUAAAGCAGAGGGAGCUGUAUGUGUAAAUUAGGAAAGCUAUUAUUUUAGCUUGGCAGUGCAUUUUAAAUAAAGGUGAAUGCUAAGCGAACUGGGUGGGUGGGCGGGCAGGGCAAGCCCAUGGUACUGUAUAUAAAACUCCUGCCUUAACCUUGGCAGAUCUUUGCCUUUGGUUCAGGUGUUGCUGACCAAAAGCUGCAAUUCUGUUGUGAAUGUACAUUUUUAAUGUAUUUAAGUUAAUUUAUUAGUUUUUCUUAGACUCGUCUCAGUACCUAAUAUGUGGCUUUUUGGCUGAGACCUUAUUCUUUUAAGAAGUCUGAUGCCGAUUUUAAGAACCAGGAAAAAUAGAAAUUAUUUCAAUAGAAAAGCCUGUAUUUAAUUUUAAAAAGCAAUGAGGAAUGUGCUUCUUAAUUGUUUUCUUGUAAGUCUGCUCCUUUGGCAGUUUAGUACUACAUAUACAAAUGUUAAAGGUGAUUUAUAUAAUACCCCUGAUAACACAUGCACGCACGCCAGUUUGACUAAGUACUUGCUGAUAGGUUUGCUCUAAGCUAGCAAAGAUGAACAUGGCAGCCUUAGACCUGUAUAUUUAGUACACCGUUGCUUACUUGUCUCAUUCUUACAUCAAUUCCAGAACUGGAAGUCUAGCUUGUCUUACUAUAGUGUUACUGUGCUCCCUGAAUUGUUAGGCCCCCCUGGGAUGAGCCGUGGCGAGCGUCCUGGAUCUGCUCCCGUGUGUUGGGUCUCAGUGCUCCAUUUGACUCAAAGCAGUUUGUUUCCUAAUAAGCAUAUCAUGUAGUCACACUUUCUGACAAACUAUUAUUUCCUGUGCAAUUUUAACUAUAGUUGAAGGAUCCAAAGGAAUGAGUCAAAAGUAGCAGGUUUCUAAGACGGUUUACAGUUAUUGGUUGUGAAUGAGCCGUUCAAGGAUUUGCUGUGUAGUAAUUUCACAUAUAAUAUAAACUCGCUAAUUUUAGUGGCCAAGGUGCUUCUGUUAUUGUAAAACUACUUCUGGAAUUUUAAAAAUAGGACCAUGUUUGGGAUUAGUGUCUUACAAGAUUACUGUGGUGCUCAGAAAAUGUUGCCAAGUUCUGCAGAAACCAGGCUGUGUUGUCUAGAGACUGGGCUAUUGUGAGCAGAGUGGAGCUCAGCUGCAUUUGACCUACAUCAACCCAGGUUGCUCUGUUUUUGGUAGAUGUAAGUCUCAGGUCACUGUAAAUACUCAGUCUUGAAGCUUUAAAUAAGACACAGUCGCAUCCACCUCUGUGAGUGCAUUUGCAUUUCGGACAUGUACUCAAUGAGUUUCACAGAACUGCUUUAACAGGGUGUGUGUUCGUGUGUGUGUGUGUGUGUGUGUGUGUGUGUGUGUGUGUGUGUGUGUGAGUGUGCAAUGCGGGAGUGAAUGUGUGCUAGUGAGUGUGGGUUUGUGCAUGUGUGUGUGAGUGAAUGUGUGUAGGGUAAGUGUAUGUGUGUACAUGUGUGUGUGGUGUAUGUGUGUACGGGAAGUGAGUGUAUGUGUGCGAUCUCCUAAGGCAAGUUACAACAGUCAGAAAUCUGGGUAUAUCUGAGUAUUGUGUUUUAAGAUUAAUGAUCAAGAGGCUUCAUUUGUCUCUAUGAUUGAUUUUAUAUUAAAGAAGGAUGGGUGACACAUUAGUCAUAUAUCUGUUUAUGCUUUAAUCAGGGUUACUCAUUUUCAACUAUUAUUAGUAGUAAACCUUCCAAAAAGUAUUUGAAGUAGUUUAUAUUUGUAAAAUGCAUGUAAGAAUAGGACAAUUAUUUUUGAACGAUAACAAUUCCUGAAAAAAAAAUCAUAUCAACAGUACUAGAUUGUAAAAUCUCACUCUCUGUGGGUGAUGUUAGAAGGUAAUUCUGAGGUAAGUUCUGCUAAUGUCUGUGAGGAAGGAACAUGGGCUUACAUGGUAGAAGAAUGCAACAGACCAUAUUCAGAAGACUCUAGACUUCAACCAAGGAGUGUACUGUACUGUUUGUGCACCAAACUCUUCUUAAUCAUUUUAGAAUAGUAAGCGCUUGUUCUUUUUAGUGGAGAGGAUGUCUGUAAAGUGACUUUUUUUUUUAUGGUCACCCUGCUCUGAACUGCCUUUAGCCUUAUAUUCUGUAGCCCAUGUGCUUCAAGCCCACAUUUCUGAGCUGCAGAACCUUAGUUAGCUGAGUAAGAACUUAGAUGUUAGUUACUGAGUUGAGCUCUGCUUGUCUAAGCAAAUGGAACAGGAGGAAGCUGUAACUGAGCAGAGAAUACUUCAGGGACCAGGCACACCAAGAAGCUCUUAGAAGGAGGUAGUUCCUUAGACGGGACAAAGGGCUGUAGUGACCCUGUCAGGACGUGUGUGUGUGAGUAUGCUGGGAAAAGUGCCCCACAGCCCUGACCAAACACUGUGAGCCAUGUGUGUCGGAGGUGGUGGUAGCAGGCAGCAUGGAAACAGGGACUGUGCUCAUUUUUACUUUUGUUGAUUUUACAGAGCUAGAAAAAAAAGAUGAGUUUGCUAAUUCCCACAGGAAAGCAUCUUCAGUGAACACUGUCAUCACAGUGGUGACCUAACACUGAAGCAACCACAGACAAGGGGGUGUGGGUUUCUUUACAACUUGACUUCACAAAAGGCUCACAGUAACAAGUGUCGGGGUACUAGAGGACCCAAGACUUUUUGGAAACAACCAUUUUUAUUUCUAGUUAUAAUCCCUAAAAAUUUAUAACUGAUAAAUACAGUAACACAGGGAACAAAGAUACUUAAGUUAGAUCUAAGUUAAAAUGUUUUCAAAGUCUAAAAAUGGGCAAAACGUACAUCAACAGAGGCAGAAACUUGAGGAAUAUUGUGAGAAAACGACUUUGUUCAGGUGGGAUUUGAUUUGGGUACUGCCUCUCAGACAUGCACCUUACCAAGCUUGCUCAAAAUGGUUUUUUUGGUAGAGUCAACAGUUUUUCAACAGCCACAACCAUAACCACUCAAAGGCAGAAUAUAAAUAUUUAAAUAUGCUUGGGAGCUGAAUGGCUGGCUGGCUCAGUACUUAAGAGAAUGUACAGCUCUUGCUGAGGACGUGGGUUCAGUUCCCAGGACCUAUGGCAGGUGGUUUACAACCUUCUGGAACUCUGUCUCCAGGGGAUCCGACACACCCUUCUGGAAUCCAUGAGCAUGUGUACUCAAAAUGUUCAUGCCCCCCCCCCCACACACAUAAUUACCAGUAAAAUUUGUUUAAAUAUACUUAGGAAGCUGAAUGAUGGGGCCAUGGAAUAUCUCACUUCCAUUUUUGUAAUGCUUUAAGAGUCUAUAAUUAUUCCAAAAUAAAAGGAUUUUUAAAAAGCAAACCUAGUAGAUUAAGUUUGUCACUAUCUACAUAUCUCUAUCUUAAAAUUUAAUACUGCAGACCUAGUGUUUAGUUUCCAAAUGAGAACUACAUUAUAUAUUGACAACAUUUUUUAUUUCAUUCUUGAGUUUAAGGAGAAAGCAGCUCAGGUUUCUAACAGAUGCAUCCCUGAAGAUGGCCCUUGCCUUUGAGAAUGUUUCUCACAGCCUCACACCAAAACUAAUUUCCAUUAAAAUAUCAAGAUGCUAAUGAUUUUACGUUUCUACCUUGUGUUAACUGAAGCCUCACUGGAGCUGCGUUUCAGGAUGAGAAGGCCAGGAUGUUUGGCUCUUUGUUAGUGUGGAAGCUGCUGGUGAUGGUGUAAUCUCUGGGACCCCAGGAUGCUUGUUUUACACUCAGUACUGUUGUGUCCAAAACAAAUGAGAACUCUGGGAAUUUAAAAGGCUUAAAAAAUAUUUUUCCAGAAAAACAGUCUUAAAAGAAUUAACAUUCUUGAACAGCCACAUGUGAUAAAAGGGAGGCUGGAGCUGAUUGCCUGUGAACAGUGAAGGUGUGUUGUGAUAGAGGGUUGCGCCAACAGAAUGCGCCAGCUUCUUUCAAAGGGGAAACAGGCACGUUUUUAUGCCCUCAUUAUUAUUAAUUUGAAGUUAUAAGGUAAAAACAUUUAGUUUAUGCAAGAGUAGAUUCUAAGAGGGUAUUUGGUAGAAUAUAUUGUUCUACUAAGUUUGGAAAAUGCUGUAUUAUGCAAAGCUGACUCGCUGUAGGCUUUUCAGAACCUUUGAUGUGUAAAUGUGUGUUUUUGGUUUCCAACUUCAGAGAUGUUUUAUUUUAUUAGCAAAGAGGACAGACUGAACCAGGCUGCAUGCGGGCGCAUGUAGAGGGCAGACUGAACCAGGCUGCGUGUGAGUGCAUGUAGAGAGGGCAGACUGAACCAGGCUGCGUGCGGGUGCAUGUAGAGGGCAGACUGAACCAGGCUGCGUGCGGGCGCAUGUAGAGGGCAGACUGAACCAGGAUGCGUGCGAGUGCAUGUAGAGAGGGCAGACUGAACCAGGCUGUGUGCGGGCGCAUGCACAUCCCCCAGGGGGACUCAUUGUCUCACCUCCAUUUAAUAUACCACUUCCCUAACUUAUUUUACUGAGGAUUUUUAAAAAGUAGAUGUUUUAUGGGAUUUGUGUUCUAAGGAAUUUCCUUAGGAGAACAUUGAGUAUUUUGUUGUCUGUGCUCAUUACAAAGUUUCUGUUUUGAGUGUUUCUCUGGUGAUGCUAAGGGUGACUAAACAAGCUUCAUUUCCUCCCAGAGUAUAAACCAGCUCACUAGUGAGGCUAUGGCGCCUUGUCAGCCUUUGCAGCAUAUACACACAGUCACAGGCUCGGCGCGCCAGGGCUUGAAUGUACAUUAGAAGCACAACUUGCUGUGGGGUUUGAGUGCUGGUGUCAUGGUGAGCAGCCAACCAUAUGAAAAGCUCUUGGAUCUUAGUUCUGAUGCUUCAGUUUUCCUCUCGAAGAUUAGAGCGAUGCCUGUAAUCAUGUAGUUUACAUAUCCCAGAUCUUCGGCCAUCACGGGAAGUGCCCUGCCAGAGUUUGCAUCAGCCUCUGAGAGUCAUUGGGGAAGGAGAAGGCCAUUCUGGCUGCUUGUUCUUUGGUCCGUGGGCUGCUGGCAUCUUGAUCUGAUGGAGGACGGGUGUGUACAAGCCUUUAAAUGCAUAAAGAUGAUUCGGGUUUCUCUUACGUCUUACUGUUUUGUAAAAUAGAAACCAUCCUUAAAUGAAACUGAAGUUUUGUAGCUUCACUUUAGCUUUCUGGAAGAUCAACAGAGGAAGGGACAAGAGCUGCAUAUGAUGUUUAUUGGCUCCAUCUCCCAAGGCAGUCUCUGUUCUAGUGUGCAAAUACCAUAGCCUUGCCUACUGUGAAUGUAUUUUACCUAGAGCUGAUGUAGAAAUACCCAGAAGUGGAAAUGAUGGUCACUGUUUAGAAUUUAUUCUGAUAAAUGAGAAACUGGAUAUAAUCUCAAAAUAGCUAUUUUCUCAAUAAAAUUGUAAAUCAUC